rnacentral:rRNA from 1 species
UACGUAGGGUGCAAGCGUUGUCCGGAAUUAUUGGGCGUAAAGAGCUCGUAGGCGGUUUGUCGCGUCUGCUGUGAAAACUCAGGGCUUAACCCUGAGCCUGCAGUGGGUACGGGCAGACUAGAGUGUGGUAGGGGAGAUCGGAAUUCCUGGUGUAGCGGUGGAAUGCGCAGAUAUCAGGAGGAACACCGGUGGCGAAGGCGGAUCUCUGGGCCAUAACUGACGCUGAGGAGCGAAAGCAUGGGGAGCGAACAG